AAUCAACGCUGGCGGCGUGCCUAACACAUGCAAGUCGCACGAGAAAGGGGAGCAAUCCCUGAGUAAAGUGGCGCACGGGUGAGUAACACGUGAAUCAUCUACCUCCGAGUGGGGAAUAACUGAGAGAAAUCUUAGCUAAUACCGCAUAACACUUACGAGUCAAAGCAGCAAUGCGCUUGGAGAGGAGUUCGCGGCCGAUUAGUUAGUUGGCGGGGUAAGNGGCCCACCAAGACGAUGAUCGGUAUCCGGCCUGAGAGGGCGGCACGGACACACUGGAAC
rnacentral:rRNA from 1 species